AUUGAACGCUGGCGGCAGGCCUAACACAUGCAAGUCGAGCGAGCGGCGGACGGGUGAGUAAUGUCUGGGAAACUGCCUGAUGGCGGGGGAUAACUACUGGAAACGGUAGCUAAUACCGCAUACCAUCAGAUGUGCCCAGGUGGGAUUAGCUAGUAGGUGGGGUAACGGCUCACCUAGGCGACGAUCCCUAGCUGGUCUGAGAGGAUGACCAGCCAGACUGGAACUGAGACACGGUGCAGACUCCUACGGGAGGCAGCAGUGGGGAAUAUUGCACAAUGGGCGCAAGCCGGAGGCAGCCAUGCCGCGUGGGUGAAGAAGGCCUUCGGGUUGUAAAGCACUUUAAGCGGGGAGGCGUUACCCGAAGAAGAAGCACCGGCUAACUCCGUGCCAGCAGCCGCGGUAAUAC
rnacentral:rRNA from 1 species